GGUGACCUGCGGAAGGAUCAUUACCGAGUGCGGGUCCUUUGGGCCCAACCUCCCAUCCGUGUCUAUUAUACCCUGUUGCUUCGGCGGGCCCGCCGCUUGUCGGCCGCCGGGGGGGCGCCUUUGCCCCCCGGGCCCGUGCCCGCCGGAGACCCCAACACGAACACUGUCUGAAAGCGUGCAGUCUGAGUUGAUUGAAUGCAAUCAGUUAAAACUUUCAACAAUGGAUCUCUUGGUUCCGGCAUCGAUGAAGAACGCAGCGAAAUGCGAUAACUAAUGUGAAUUGCAGAAUUCAGUGAAUCAUCGAGUCUUUGAACGCACAUUGCGCCCCCUGGUAUUCCGGGGGGCAUGCCUGUCCGAGCGUCAUUGCUGCCCUCAAGCCCGGCUUGUGUGUUGGGUCGCCGUCCCCCUCUCCGGGGGGACGGGCCCGAAAGGCAGCGGCGGCACCGCGUCCGAUCCUCGAGCGUAUGGGGCUUUGUCACAUGCUCUGUAGGAUUGGCCGGCGCCUGCCGACGUUUUCCAACCAUUUUUUCCAGGUUGACCUCGGAUCAGGUAGGGAUACCCGCUGAACUUAAGCAUAUCAAUAAGCGGAGGAAAAGAAACCAACCGGGAUUGCCUCAGUAACGGCGAGUGAAGCGGCAAGAGCUCAAAUUUGAAAGCUGGCUCCUUCGGAGUCCGCAUUGUAAUUUGCAGAGGAUGCUUUGGGUGCGGCCCCCGUCUAA
rnacentral:rRNA from 1 species